GUGAUGGGUGACCGCACCGGGAAGGUUGUUGUCGACCCCAGGACCGCGGGAAAACCUCGGAAUUAAAUUUCGGGACAUAAGUAAAGGUUUAUUAAAAUGUAAUUGACACUAGAAAUAUCAAAGAAAAAUUAAUAAAUUAGUACAAAGAAAAACAAAAAAUCGAGAAACAGACAAAAAUUGGUGUUGCCAAAAAAUCGGGAAUGUAACCCGAAGUGGGGUGUUUUGGU
rnacentral:misc_RNA from 1 species